rnacentral:rRNA from 1 species
UACAGAGGGUGCAAGCGUUGUUCGGAAUUAUUGGGCGUAAGGCGCGCGUAGGCGGCUUUGCAAGUCGGGUGUGAAAUCCCCAGGCUUAACCUGGGAACUGCAUUCGAGACUGCAUUGCUAGAGUAUGGGAGAGGGAAGUGGAAUUUCCGGUGUAGCGGUGAAAUGCGUAGAUAUCGGAAGGAACAUCAGUGGCGAAAGCGACUUCCUGGACCAAUACUGACGCUCAUGUGCGAAAGCGUGGGGAGCAAACAGG